rnacentral:sRNA from 1 species
AGGUGGGGACCCGGCCGGGAUGGCUGCAGCGGCGGCCGGGGCCGGGAGCGGGCCCUGGGCGGCCCAGGAGAAGCAGUUCCCGCCGGCGCUGCUGAGUUUCUUCAUCUACAACCCGCGCUUCGGGCCGCGCGAAGGAGAGGAGGAAAAUAAGAUUUUAUUUUAUCAUCCAAAUGAGGUAGAAAAGAAUGAGAAGAUUAGAAAUGUCGGAUUGUGUGAAGCUAUUGUACAGUUUACAAGGACAUUUAGCCCAUCAAAACCUGCAAAAUCUUUACAUACACAGAAGAACAGACAGUUCUUCAAUGAACCAGAAGAAAAUUUCUGGAUGGUCAUGGUAUUUACAUACACAGUGUAUCUUUCUGAAAUUAUAUGGUGAAGUUAUGGGUGAUCUUUACUGUUCAGAAUUUAGGAAAGUUCUCUGGCUGUUGCAUCCAAGUAAAAUUAAAAUAAAAUUGGUUGCAAUUUUAAAAUCAAGUUCUUCCUAUUUGCUUUAUUCAUUCUUGGGGCUGUUUUAAGAAGCUGUGUUUCUGGUGCUGUAGCAUGUUCAAAGUUUUUAAACUAAGGCAAAAUAAACAUGGUCUAAUGAAUUCAUUGUAUAAUUUCAGUUUAUCAAACUUUGUAGGUUGUUCGGAAUCCUAUAAUUGAAAAACAGUAAAGAUGGAAAACCAGUUCUUGAAUAUCAAGAGGAGGAGUUGUUGGUAAUGUGUCAUUGUUUAUUUAUUUAUUUAAAUGUAUUGCUGA